rnacentral:rRNA from 1 species
GAUGAACGCUGGCUACAGGCUUAACACAUGCAGGUCGAGGGGAAACGCCGGGGAAGCUUGCUUCCCCGGGCGUCGACCGGCGCACGGGUGAGUAACGCGUAUCCAACCUGCCUCUGACUGAGGGAUAACCCGUCGAAAGUCGGCCUAAUACCUCAUGGCAUCGUCUGCGGGCAUCCAACGACGAUUAAAGAUUUCAUCGGUCAGGGAUGGGGAUGCGUCUGAUUAGCUUGUUGGCGGGGUAACGGCCCACCAAGGCUACGAUCAGUAGGGGUUCUGAGAGGAAGGUCCCCCACAUUGGAACUGAGACACGGUCCAAACUCCUACGGGAGGCAGCAGUGAGGAAUAUUGGUCAAUGGGCGGGAGCCUGAACCAGCCAAGUAGCGUGCAGGAUGACGGCCCUAUGGGUUGUAAACUGCUUUUAUGCGGGGAUAAAGUGAGGGACGUGUCCUUCAUUGCAGGUACCGCAUGAAUAAGGACCGGCUAAUUCCGUG